GAUGAAGAACGUAGCGAAAUGCGAUAAGUAGUGUGAAUUGCAGAAUUCAGUGAAUCAUCGAAUCUUUGAACGCACAUUGCGCCCUUUGGUAUUCCUUAGGGCAUGCCUGUUCGAGCGUCAUUUGAAACCUCAAGCUCAACUUGGUGUUGGGUGUCUGUCCCCGCCUCACCGCGGGGACUCGCCUCAAAAUCAUUGGCGGCCGGUACGUUGGCUUCGAGCGCAGCAGAAACGCGAACUCGAGGCCCGGCGGAUCGGCGACCAGAAGUCACUUCUUCACAGUUUGACCUCGGAUCAGGUAGGGAUACCCGCUGAACUUAAGCAUAUCAAUAAGCGGAGGA
rnacentral:misc_RNA from 1 species